CCUACGGGUGGCAGCAGCUAAGAAUAUUCCGCAAUGGACGAAAGUCUGACGGAGCGACGCCGCGUGGAUGAAGAAGGCUGAAAAGUUGUAAAAUCCUUUUGUUGAUGAAGAAUAAGGGGAAGAGGGAAUGCUUCUCUGAUGACGGUAAUCAGCGAAUAAGCCCCGGCUAAUUACGUGCCAGCAGCCGCGGUAACACGUAAGGGGCGAGCGUUGUUUGGAAUUAUUGGGCGUAAAGGGCAUGUAGGCGGUUAUGUAAGCCUGAUGUGAAAUCCUGGGGCUUAACCCCAGAAUAGCAUUGGGUACUGGGUAACUUGAAGUACGGAAGGGAAACUGGAAUUCCAAGUGUAGGGGUGGAAUCUGUAGAUAUUUGGAGGAACACCGGUGGCGAAGGCGGGUUUCUGGCCGAUAAUUGACGCUGAGAUGCGAAAGUGUGGGGAUCGAACAGGAUUAGAUACCCUGGUAGUC
rnacentral:rRNA from 1 species